AUAUUCCGUGACUUCCGUAUUUUUAAUGGAGUGACGAAGAUUAGUAUGCUAGGCGCAUUACUGGAUUUGCGUUAUUGGCGUAAGGAACGCAGGCAGGAAAAUCCGCCCGCGCCCGCAAGGGAAAUUCCAAGCGCAAAUGAAAUAUUCCGUUUAUAGCGGAAUAAAUUUAGCAAAGCAGUCUUCCAAGAAAAGCUUCUAAGCCCCGCUUUAGCGGGGAAAGAAAUACGGAAACCGUACCGAAAACCGACACAGGUGGAUAGGUCGAGAAGACCAAGGCGAACGGGUGAGUUCUUCCCAAGGAACUCGGCAAAAAAGCGACCGUAACUUCGGGAUAAGGUCUGCCCGCCGCAAGGCGGGCCGCAGCGAAAGUUUCUCUGGCGACUGUUUAUCAAAAACACAGCUCCCUGCGAACUCGUAAGAGGAUGUAUAGGGGGUGACACCUGACCAAUGCGAGAAGGUCAAAUACGGAGGGUUUUCGCCGCAAGGCGGAAGCUGGACUGUAUAAGCCCUCGUGAAUGUCGGCCGUAACUAUAACGGUCCUAAGGUAGCGAAAUUCCUUGUCGGGUAAGUUCCGACGCGCACGAAUGGUGUAACGACUGGAGAACUGUCUCGGGAAGUAGCCCGGUGAAAAUACAAUACCGGUGAAGAUGCCGGUUACCUGCAGCUAGACGAAAAGACCCCGGAAGCUUUACUAUAGCUUGGUAUUGGGUUUAGAUUUUUAAUGCGUAGCAUAGACGGGAGGCUUUGAAGUGUCGCUUUUGGGUGACAUGGAGCCGCCAGUAAAAUACCGUUCUUUAAAAAGCUAAAUUCUAACCUUUGCGGCAAAAACGCAAGGAGACAGUGCCUGGUGGGUAGUUUAAUUGGGGCGAUUUCCUCCUAAAAAGUAACGGAGGAGUUUAAAGGUCGGCUAGGCGCGGAUGGAAACCGCGCUGAUAGCGCAAUGGCAAAAGCCGGCUUAACUGCAAGACGGACAUGUCGAGCAGAUGCGAAAGCAGAACAUAGUGAACCGACCAUUCGCUUUAGAAGCGGUGGAAGAUUAACGGAUAAAAGCUACUCCGGGGAUAACAGGCUAGUUCCGCCCAAGCGUCCAUAGCGACGGCGGAGUUCGGCACCUUAACAUAUCGGGGUGCGGCGCGAGAGAUCGCGCAGUCUGGGUUAAAGCAUAUUUAGGAGAAUAUGUUUUGAUUAAAAUAUUUGGCUUAUAACGGUGAACUCCAUGAUAUAAUAUAAUCAUGGACAAUACCGUGGGAAGUCUAACUAAACUUGAACGAUCGAUUAUAAUCGGAUCUCUCUUGGGAGACGGGUACGUGAGAAUCAUGCCCGGCAGAUCAGACGCUUUUUUAGAAAUAAAUCAUUCUAUAAAAGCGAAAGAUUAUGUUGAUUACAAAUUCAAAAAAUUAAAAAGAAUUUGUGAAUCUGCACCAAAGGAAAGAGUGUCUGGUGAUAAUCGUCGUGCGUGUAGGUUUUUUACUAAACAACAUAAAGAUUUAACUAAUCUUUAUUAU
rnacentral:rRNA from 1 species